rnacentral:rRNA from 1 species
UGAGCAAUCUGCCCUUCUCUUUGGAAUAAGCGUUGGAAACGACGUCUAAUGCCGAAUACGACCUCCUUUCGCAUGAUCGGAGGUGGAAAGCUCCGGCGGAGAAGGAUGAGCUCGCGGCCUAUCAGCUAGUUGGUGUGGGUAAUGGCCCACCAAGGCGACGACGGGUAGCCGACCUGAGAGGGUGAUCGGCCACAUUGGAACUGAGACACGGUCCAGACUCCUACGGGAGCAG